CCUACGGGGUGCAGCAGUGGGGAAUAUUGGACAAUGGGCGAAAGCCUGAUCCAGCCAUGCCGCGUGUGUGAAGAAGGCCUUCGGGUUGUAAAGCACUUUCAGUGGGGAAGAAAGCCUUGGGGCUAAUACCCUCGAGGAAGGACAUCACCCACAGAAGAAGCACCGGCUAACUCCGUGCCAGCAGCCGCGGUAAUACGGAGGGUGCGGGCGUUAAUCGGAAUUACUGGGCGUAAAGCGCGCGUAGGCGGUCUGAUAAGCCGGUUGUGAAAGCCCCGGGCUCAACCUGGGAACGGCAUCCGGAACUGUCAGGCUAGAGUGCAGGAGAGGAAGGUAGAAUUCCCGGUGUAGCAGUGAAAUGCGUAGAGAUCGGGAGGAAUACCAGUGGCGAAGGCGGCCUUCUGGACUGACACUGACGCUGAGGUGCGAAAGCGUGGGUAGCAAACAGGAUUAGAUACCCGGGUAGUC
rnacentral:rRNA from 1 species